GAGUCCCAGAGCUCGAGUCUGAGGACCCGAGACGUGGCAUUCUCGCCUGAGGACUGGAAAGAAUCCUACAAAACAAGCUUUGGUUUCAUUUUCCAACGCCCUGGCCUGAGAUCCUGCAGGCCGAGGACGUGGCCUGGCGUGGGGGAUCUGGGGGAUGUCAAGAGGGUUCUGGUUACCAGAUCCGCGUUUACUUUGGAAAAAUCUAAGAUCGCCACAUCCGAGGAUACAUGUCUUAAGGAGGCGAUGAGCUUUCCGUGAUUUUUUUUUUAAAUCAGAGAUUCUUUCGGUAGCUUUCUUUUAAAAGCCAGAGCCUCGAGGCAUGCCCAGGCGCCCCAGUUUGGGGAAGUCGGGGUGAAGCCCCCUGGAACACCCUCGCUCUGGCAAAGAAGCUGCCUCGGCCAUCUGCGGGCUCCGCUGCGUUCUCCCUACUUUUCUCCCCUCUUAAAUGCAGUUAAAAUGGCUGAAUUCCGGCUUUUAAUUAAAAACAGCCUAUAAUCGAAAACG